rnacentral:rRNA from 1 species
CUACUGCACUUUUUAACAAGUACUCACCUUGUGUGAAAUGUUUGUGCUACACGUGUCACGUCAGUGACGCGUCAUGCGCAUAAUACCAACUUUUUUAUUGCAAUUUUUUUGUCUGAAGCUAUUUUUGAAUGAAAUAAAUCUAAAUACAACUUUCAACAACGGAUCUCUUGGCUCUCGCAUCGAUGAAGAACGCAGCGAAAUGCGAUACGUAAUGUGAAUUGCAGAAUUCAGUGAAUCAUCGAAUCUUUGAACGCACAUUGCACUCUCUGGUAUUCCGGAGAGUAUGCUUGUUUGAGUAUCUGUAAACAUCUCAAAUCUCUCGGAUUUCUUCCGAAAGAAUUGGAUUUGAGCGAUCCCGACUUUUUUUUACAAAAAGGAGGGCCGCUUGAAAUGCAGGUGCAGCUGGACAUUCUUCUGAGCUAAAAGCAUAUUUAUUUAGUCCCGUGAAACGGAUUAUUACUUUUGCUUCAGCUAACAUAAAGGUCGAAUGAACAAACCAAGGCUGAUUGCAGGAAAACUCGUCUUGUUCACGCAAGACUUGUAAACUUGAUCUCAAAUCAAGCAAGACUACCCGCUGAACUUAAGCAUAUCAAUAAGCGGAGGAAA